rnacentral:piRNA from 1 species
UGAGGUGAGCCGCAUCAAGAAGCAGG